GACGAACGCUGGCGGCGUGCUUAACACAUGCAAGUCGAACGGAAAGGCCUGCUUUCCCUUGUGGAUUGCGGGUACUCGAGUGGCGAACGGGUGAGUAACACGUGAGUGAUCUGCCCCCAACUUGGGUAUAAGCCUGGGAAACUGGGUCUAAUUCCCGAUAGGACUGCAGGGUGGUGCCUGUGGUGGAAAACGAUUUUCUAGUGGUUGGGGAUGAGCUCGCGGCCUAUCAGCUUGUUGGUGGGGUACUGGCCUACCAAGGCGGCGACGGGUAGCCGGCCUGAGAGGGUGGACGGGCACAUUGGGACUGAGAUACGGCCCAGACUGCUACGGGAGGCAGGAGUGGGGAAUAUUGGACAAUGGGCGGAAGCCUGAUGCAGCGACGCCGCGUGGGGGAUGACGGCCUUCGGGUUGUAAACUCCUUUCGACCGCGAGGAAGCCACCUGGUUGGAAGGGUGGUGACGGUAGUGGUAGAAGAAGCACCGGCUAACUACGUG
rnacentral:rRNA from 1 species